CCUACGGGAGGCAGCAGUGAGGAAUAUUGGUCAAUGGACGGAAGUCUGAACCAGCCAUGCCGCGUGCAGGAAGACGGCUCUAUGAGUUGUAAACUGCUUUUGUACAAGGGUAAACCUGAAUACGUGUAUUCAGCUGAAAGUACUGUACGAAUAAGGAUCGGCUAACUCCGUGCCAGCAGCCGCGGUAAUACGGAGGAUCCAAGCGUUAUCCGGAUUUAUUGGGUUUAAAGGGUGCGCAGGCGGUUUGUUAAGUCAGGGGUUAAAGUCCGGGGCUUAACUCGGGACCUGCCGCUAAAACUGUUUGUCUAGAGAGUGAGUGCGGUAGGCGGAAUGUAUGGUGUAGCGGUGAAAUGCUUAGAGAUCGUACAGAACACCGAUUGCGAAGGCAGCUUACCAAUCUAUAUCUGACGUUGAGGCACGAAAGCGUGGGGAGCGAACAGGAUUAGAUACCCCAGUAGUC
rnacentral:rRNA from 1 species